UACGUACUGUGCGACCGUUAUUCGGAAUCACUGGGCUUAAAGGGUGUGUAGGCGGCCGUUUAAGUAGGGUGUGAAAGGCCUCGGCCUAACCGAGGCAUUGCGCUCUAAACUGAUCGGCUUGAGUAAGAUAGGGGUGUGCGGAACUUCCAGUGGAGCGGUGAAAUGUGUUGAUAUUGGAAGGAACGCCGGUGGCGAAAGCGGCACACUGGGUCUUAACUGACGCUGAGACACGAAAGCCAGGGGAGCGAACGGG
rnacentral:rRNA from 1 species